GCCGGGCGCGGUGGCGCGUGCCUAUAGUCCCAGCUACUCGGGAGGCUGAGGUGGGAGGAUUGCUUGAGCCCAGGAGUUCUGGGCUGUAGUGCGCUAUGCCGAUCCGGUGUCCGCACUAAGUUCGGCAUCAAUAUGGUGACCUCCAGGGAGCUAGGAACCACCAGGUUGCCCAAGGAGGGGUGAACCGGCCCAGGUCGGAAAUGGAGCAGGUCAAAACUCCUGUGCUGAUCAGUAGUGGGAUCGCGCCUGUGAAGAGCCACUGCACUCCAGCCUGGGCAACAUAGUGAGACCCCGUCUCU
rnacentral:SRP_RNA from 1 species